rnacentral:rRNA from 1 species
AUGACUAAAAGCAACUUACUCAAAAGGCAUAUAGAUAGGGGCGAAGAUUGCCUUUUUUGUACUUGCAAAGAAGACAUGACCCAUUUAUUCUUUGAGUGCGUGGUCUCCUCCAAUAUUUGGUCUAUUGUGCAAAAUUUCUACAAAAAGCCAGUAGGCAAUACCUAUGAAUCAGUAGCUAGAUUGUGGGUUUCUAAUAAAAAGCAUCUAGUUGUAAACAUAGUCAAUGCUGCUGUUCUCUGGUGCAUCUGGAAAUAUAGAAAUAGCAUGAUAUUUGAUCAUCUUCUUUGGAUGGAUAUCAAACAGGUCUGGUGGAGGAUCCUAAAGACACUCAGGUCGUGGCUGAUCCUGAUUCCGAAGCAGACAAAGGAGGACAUGCAGACCUUCAUAAAUUACCUUCUGGAGUUCAUCAAACAACCGCUGAGAAUUUGGAAUGGCUAA